AACGCACCUUGCACCUUUCAGUAUUCUGAAAGGUACACCUGUUUGAGUAUCAUUAAUAUCCUCCACUCAUUUCAUUGUUUUUCUUUGAAUUGAGAUGGGAAUUUGGGAGUAAUAUAUUUGCAAACUUUCCAGUUUGCUCUCCUUGAAUGUAUUAGUGAGAAGAAAACAAAAGGCAACAGGAGUGGCUGAUGUGAUAAUAACCAAAGUCUCUCAGCUCUUCUAACCUUUGAAUUGAAUUGUCUUCUUGCUUUCGAAACAAAGCAUUUUUCUUAAGACUUGAUCUCAAAUCAGGUGGGAUUACCCGCUGAACUUAA
rnacentral:misc_RNA from 1 species